rnacentral:rRNA from 1 species
CAUGUAGGCGGUUUUUAAGUCUGGAGUGAAAAUGCGGGGCUCAACCCCGUAUGGCUCUGGAUACUGGAAGACUUGAGUGCAGGAGAGGAAAGGGGAAUUCCCAGUGUAGCGGUGAAAUGCGUAGAUAUUGGGAGGAACACCAGUGGCGAAGGCGCCUUUCUGGACUGUGUCUGACGCUGAGAUGCGAAAGCCAGGGUAGCGAACG